GGACCAGGCUGGCCUGGUACAGGUCAAGGGCAGGAGCUGCAACCGCAGCUGCAGGCUGCUCUACUACAGUGUAGAUUCCCAUUCACAAGUGCUGGGAGGAACUGAUCUGAGAUCACUUCCUCUACGUUCUGCAAUGCAUAAAUUGAGGAUUUUCCUUCACCACCUUUUCGUAUCAGCAGAUAUCUGAAGUUUCACUGAGACUCCUGAUAGG